AGCGAACGCUGGCGGCAGGCUUAACACAUGCAAGUCGAGCGCCCCGCAAGGGGAGCGGCAGACGGGAGAGUAACACGUGGGAACAUACCUUUUGGUUCGGAACAACUGAGGGAAACUUCAGCUAAUACCGGAUAAGCCCUUACGGGGAAAGAUUUAUCGCCGAAAGAUUGGCCCGCGUCUGAUUAGCUAGUUGGUGAGGUAACGGCUCACCAAGGCGACGAUCAGUAGCUGGUCUGAGAGGAUGAUCAGCCUCACUGGGACUGAGACACGGCCCAGACUCCUACGGGAGGCAGCAGUGGGGAAUAUUGGAAAAUGGGGGCAACCCUGAUCCAGCCAUGCCGCGUGAGUGAUGAAGGCCUUAGGGUUGUAAAGCUCUUUUGCCCGGGAAGAUCAUGACGGUACCGGGAGAAUAAGCCCCGGCUAACUUCGUG
rnacentral:rRNA from 1 species